rnacentral:lncRNA from 1 species
UCGAGGCUCAGGAUGGCUCCUGGCCAAGCCGGCAUCUUCCACCGCUGAGAUAACACACACGCCGGGAUUUGACAGAUGCCGCAGUCCCCAAGCUGAGAAGACGCGCUUCACAAACAAUUUGAACGUUGUAGGACCCUGGCCUCAGAUUCCUCCUCCUUGUUACGUGACAGCCCUUAUGUUUCUUUUCCUCCCUGGGAGAGAGAGGGGAGAAAACAACAACAUAGUUCGGGAGAAGGUAGCUUGUUCUCUUGACACCGGAUCAUAAAAUUCCCCGGAGACAUUUCCCAGAAGCUGGAGAAAUCGUGCGGAUCUCUGGAAACUCAAGAUGCUCCUUUCACUUGAGGGAGGAUCCCGUCUAACGCCUUGGACGUGAGUUGGCGCGAACCAAACCCGCACAGAACAAUCCCCGUGCCCUCUGUGCUCAAGGAGACCCGGAGAACCUGUUACAUUGGUUAUAAAACGAGAUGUAAAAGGCAGUCAAGCCUCACGAAGCCCUGUGUGCCAUGUUUUAGCUCCCUUACCCCGUACCACACGCUUCCUUCUCUGCAAGGCCAACCUGCCGAGGAAAAGGAUAUCGAGGACCGAAGAGACCUGAACACACAGGAGGGGGCAGGUAAUCCAGACUUUGAGAGUUGCACCCAACACAACACAAAUGCAAAUGGGAACCAGGGAAAUCCGAGACCCUGCCAGGGGGGAAGAAUGUCGCUGAGCUAAAGAGCCAAGGGCGGAUCCAGGGGCUAAAGUAGCAAGAGGCAAAACGAGGAAUGAAAUGGAGACUCCAGGUUAGUAUUGGUGAAAGAGGAAAAACAAGAUGGCGGGCGGGCUUGGGGAGCUCAGCGGCAGGAAACCAUCUCUCCAGAGACACCUCUGGAGUAUGAGGACAUUCUCUCUCUCUCUGCCCCCUGCCCCCCACUUGUGCUCUCUCUCUCUCCAAAUAAAUAAGUAAACUUAAGAAAUAAUAAAAUAACA